rnacentral:rRNA from 1 species
AUUCCAGCUCCAAUAGCGUAUAUUCAAGUUGUUGCAGUUAAAAAGCUCGUAGUUGAAUUUUGGAUUCGGUGCACUGGUACAUCCUCGCGGAUGUCACUUGUGGACUGUUUCUUUCCUCAUGGCAAACUCUUGUGCUAUUAGUUUAGUGCGAUUGGGAACCAUGACUGUUACUUUGAAAAAAUUAGAGUGUUUAAAACAGGCGUUUGCCUGAAUAGAUUAGCAUGGAAUAACGGAAUAGGACCCUGUUUCUAUUUUUGUUGGUUUUAGAAAUAGAGUAAUGAUUAAUAGGGACAGUUGGGGGCAUUAGUAUUCCAUUGUCAGAGGUGAAAUUCUUGGAUUUAUGAAAGACUAACUUCUGCGAAAGCAUCUGCCAAGGAUGUUUUCAUCG